rnacentral:lncRNA from 1 species
AGCAAUAUCUGUAGAAUUCUGUUUUUCUAUUUUCCUUUUACACUGUAAAUAUCAGUAGUUGGUAAAUAAAAAAGAUUGAAGAGACUUCAGGCUGAAUCCUAUCCAAUUUUGAAUCUACUUUAUUUCCUUAUCUCCAAUAAAAUUCUCCACAUUCCAUGAGAAUGAUGUUUCUCCUAGAAGUAAAUUAAUGAUAUUUUCUGAAUGAAGAAUAAAGCACCUGGUAUGAAAAUGUCUGCCAGAAAUUAUUAUGUGUUAAUAAGAAAGUACUCUAAAAUGUAUCUCUUUUCUAUCACUUGAGAAGUCAAUUCUUGUGUUCUUCUUAGUUUAUAAAUAUUUUGGGCUUCUUCUUCUCUGUAAACCUUGUGACUUGUUGUGGUUUGAACAUGUAAUAAAUCUCAAAGGUUCAUCUGUUUC